AUGAGUGUCGCAUGUGGAAAAAGUGACAGAGUUGGGGCCCCAACCAAGGACGAUUUCACACAUCAACAGAACCAUCUGCCUGCGCCUUGGAUCCUGCUUCCUGUCCAGUUUCAAGAAGAGGCGUCUACCAGGGUGUGGACUCAGGGAAUCGCCCAAGUCUCCCUGCAGACCAAUGCUCAACCUCGUGCAACACGAAGUUUCGAGUUUCCCGUGCUCACCUCAAAGGGUGUGAACACACCAGAGAGACUUCAAGAGGCGGUUCCUAUGGGUCACAGCUGGAUCAGCCUCCCUUGGAGUCUGUUCUCAUCAGAUGCAUGGUCACACUGAGUAAUGUCAUCCAGAUGCAGCUCCAAGGUUCAUCUCCGUGACACGCGGAUGCCAGAUGCUCUUCCUGAUUUGAAUUUCAAACUCCACAGCAACAGUCAUCCAACCAUGCCCAUCGCUUUCCAACAAGCAGGUCUAGACCCUGACUCCAUCUUAAGCUCCACGGUGGCCUUCAAGAGUGGCCUCCACAGCUGCUAGCCUGCCACUCUGUCUGACCACCACUUGGGGGACUAUUUCGAGUGUCUUCUACUGCAUGUGAUGACGGUGUGACAGCAUAUGCAAAUUGCUGCUGUGUGGGAACAGCCUCCAGAGACCCUGGGGACAAGACCUGGCAAUGUCCCUCUUGCUUCAACCUGUGCUUUUGAUUCCUCUGUCAGAUAUCAAUAGCAAGCUAGCCUCCUGAGAUGGGAGUCAGACACAGAGUUGUUACAACAACUCUAAGGAGUUGUUAUAGUCAAGUGUCUUAGCCAUCAAGACUUUUCACAAUCUGACUCUCCUUCUAGGCAGAAACCCAUUGUUGUAGGUUGAAGGCUUGUGUUCAUCCCUUCCUCAAACUCACAUGCUAAUAACUGACCUCAGAGUGACAGCAUUAGGAGAUGAGACCCUUAUGGAGAUAGUUGAGUUAAGAUGCAAUCAUGAACGGGAAGCCCAUUGUCCGGCCAUGUGUCCCAUGAUAUUCCAUGCCCACCCUGUGAUUCCAGUAAGGCCAACUCACAGGAAAGUGCCCACCAGUUUUUAAUCCAUAAAUAAAAUGUCUUACAUGUAUUAUAGUUUGCA
rnacentral:lncRNA from 1 species